rnacentral:rRNA from 1 species
UACAAAGAGAAGCGACCUCGCGAGAGCAAGCGGACCUCAUAAAGUAUGUCGUAGUCCGGAUUGGAGUCUGCAACUCGACUCCAUGAAGUCGGAAUCGCUAGUAAUCGUAGAUCAGAAUGCUACGGUGAAUACGUUCCCGGGCCUUGUACACACCGCCCGUCACACCAUGGGAGUGGGUUGCAAAAGAAGUAGGUAGCUUAACCUUCGGGAGGGCGCUUACCACUUUGUGAUUCAUGACUGGGGUGAAGUCGUAACAAGGUAACCGUAGGGGAACCUGCGGUU